rnacentral:rRNA from 1 species
GGUCAAGUUAUUAAGGGUGCAGGGCGAAUGCCUUGGCACUAGGAGCCGAUGAAGGACGUGAUAAGCUGCGAUAAGCUUCGGGGAGUUGCACGUAAACUUUGAUCCGAAGAUUUCCGAAUGAGGAAACUCACUUAGAGUAAUGUCUAAGUAUCGUAUGAUGAAUACAUAGUCAUGCGAGGGGAACCCGGAGAACUGAAACAUCUAAGUACCCGGAGGAAGAGAAAGAAAUUCGAUUCCGUAAGUAGCGGCGAGCGAACGCGGAACAGGCCAAACCAGUGAAGUUUUCUUCGCUGGGGUUGCGGACAUAUCAUAACGAAGAGGUAUCGUAGAAGAAGAGAGUUGGAAAGCUCCGCCAUAGAUGGUAACAGCCCAGUAUUUUAAACGAGAAGACUUUAGAUAUGAUCCAGAGUACCACGGGACACGUGAAACCCUGUGGGAAGCAGGAGGGACCAUCCUCCAAGCCUAAAUACUACCUAGUGACCGAUAGCGUAUAGUACCGUGAGGGAAAGGUGAAAAGAACCCCGGGAGGGGAGUGAAAGAGAACCUGAAACCCUGCACUUACAAGCUGUAGGAGCACAUUAUUUGUGUGACUGCGUACUUUUUGUAGAACGGGCCAACGAGUUACGUUGUGUAGCAAGGUUAAGCACUUAAGGUGUGGAGCCGUAGCGAAAGCGAGUCUUAAAUGGGCGUCCAGUUACCCGACGUAGACCCGAAACCAGGCGACCUAUCCAUGAGCAGGUUGAAGCGAAAGUAAAAUUUCGUGGAGGACCGAACCCACGUACGUUGAAAAGUGCGGGGAUGACUUGUGGAUAGCGGUGAAAUUCCAAUCGAGCCUGGAGAUAGCUGGUUCUCCCCGAAAUAGCUUUAGGGCUAGCCUCAAGCUUAGAGAAACGGAGGUAGAGCACUGAAUGUCCUAGGGGGUAUUGCACUUACCGAAGACUAUCAAACUCCGAAUGCCGUAUUCUUUUGCUUGGGAGUCAGACUAUGGGUGAUAAGAUUCAUAGUCAAGAGGGCAACAGCCCAGAUCGUCAGCUAAGGUCCCUAAAUGUAAGUUAAGUGGUAAAGGAUGUGGAAUUGCACAGACAACCAGGAUGUUGGCUUAGAAGCAGCCACUCAUUUAAAGAGUGCGUAAUAGCUCACUGGUCGAGUGAUUCUGCGCCGAAAAUUUCCGGGGCUAAAACUUACUACCGAAGCUACGGCAUCAUUAUGAUGGGUAGGGGAGCUUUCUAUGCGGCUUGAAGCAUGACCGUAAGGACAUGUGGACUGCAUAGAAGUGAGAAUGUUGGCAUGAGUAGCGAGAUGUGGGUGAGAAUCCCACAGGCCGUAAACCCAAGGUUUCCAGGGGAAGGUUCGUCCGCCCUGGGUUAGUCAGGACCUAAGCCGAGGCCGAAAGGCGUAGGUGAUGGACAACAGGUUGAUAUUCCUGUACCACCAAUAACCGUUUGAGAAAUGGGAUGACACAGUAGGAUAAGCUAACCGCACUGUUGGUUAUGUGCGGGCAAGUAUUGAGGCAGUUCCGAUAGGCAAAUCCGUCGGAAUAAUGCUGGGGUACGAUGCGGAGCGAAAUUAAGUAGCGAAGUAGCUGAUUUCACACUGUCGAGAAAAGUCUCUAUCGAGGUUAAAGGUGCCUGUACCGCAAACCGACACAGGUGGGUGAGGAGAGUAUCCUAAGGCCAGCGAGAGAACUGUUGUUAAGGAACUCGGCAAAAUGACCCCGUAACUUAGGGAGAAGGGGUGCCUUCGAAAGAAGGCCGCAGAGAAUAGGCCCAAGCGACUGUUUACCAAAAACAUAGGUUUCUGCUAAGUCGCAAGACGAUGUAUAGGAGCUGACGCCUGCCCGGUGCUGGAAGGUUAAGGGGAUCUGUUAGAGCAAUCGAAGCAGUGAACUUAAGCCCCAGUAAACGGCGGCCGUAACUAUAACGGUCCUAAGGUAGCGAAAUUCCUUGUCGGGUAAGUUCCGACCCGCACGAAAGGCGUAACGAUUUGGG